AUUGAACGCUGGCGGCAGGCUUAACACAUGCAAGUCGAGCGGGGGAGGUUGCUUCGGUAACUGACCUAGCGGCGGACGGGUGAGUAAUGCUUAGGAAUCUGCCUAUUAGUGGGGGACAACGUUCCGAAAGGAACGCUAAUACCGCAUACGCCCUACGGGGGAAAGCAGGGGAUCUUCGGACCUUGCGCUAAUAGAUGAGCCUAAGUCGGAUUAGCUAGUUGGUGGGGUAAAGGCCUACCAGGGCGACGAUCUGUAGCGGGUCUGAGAGGAUGAUCCGCCACACUGGGACUGAGACACGGCCCAGACUCCUACGGGAGGCAGCAGUGGGGAAUAUUGGACAAUGGGCGGAAGCCUGAUCCAGCCAUGCCGCGUGUGUGAAGAAGGCCUUUUGGUUGUAAAGCACUUUAAGCGAGGAGGAGGCUCCUUUAGUUAAUACCUAAAGAGAGUGGACGUUACUCGCAGAAUAAGCACCGGCUAACUCUGUGCCAGCAGCCGCCGUAAAAC
rnacentral:rRNA from 1 species